AAGGGCGCACGGUGGAUGCCUUGGCACUAGAAGCCGAUGAAGGACGUUACUAACGACGAUAUGCUUUGGGGAGCUGUAAGUAAGCUUUGAUCCAGAGAUUUCCGAAUGGGGAAACCCAGCAUGAGUUAUGUCAUGUUAUCGAUAUGUGAAUACAUAGCAUAUCAGAAGGCACACCCGGAGAACUGAAACAUCUUAGUACCCGGAGGAAGAGAAAGAAAAUUCGAUUCCCUUAGUAGCGGCGAGCGAAACGGGAAGAGCCCAAACCAACAAGCUUGCUUGUUGGGGUUGUAGGACACUCUAUACGGAGUUACAAAGGACGACAUUAGACGAAUCAUCUGGAAAGAUGAAUCAAAGAAGGUAAUAAUCCUGUAGUCGAAAAUGUUGUCUCUCUUGAGUGGAUCCUGAGUACGACGGAGCACGUGAAAUUCCGUCGGAAUCUGGGAGGACCAUCUCCUAAGGCUAAAUACUCUCUAGUGACCGAUAGUGAACCAGUACCGUGAGGGAAAGGUGAAAAGCACCCCGGAAGGGGAGUGAAAUAGAACCUGAAACCGUGUGCUUACAAGUAGUCAGAGCCCGUUAAUGGGUGAUGGCGUGCCUUUUGUAGAAUGAACCGGCGAGUUACGAUUUGAUGCAAGGUUAAGCAGUAAAUGUGGAGCCGUAGCGAAAGCGAGUCUGAAUAGGGCGUUUAGUAUUUGGUCGUAGACCCGAAACCAGGUGAUCUACCCUUGGUCAGGUUGAAGUUCAGGUAACACUGAAUGGAGGACCGAACCGACUUACGUUGAAAAGUGAGCGGAUGAACUGAGGGUAGCGGAGAAAUUCCAAUCGAACCUGGAGAUAGCUGGUUCUCUCCGAAAUAGCUUUAGGGCUAGCCUCAAGUGAUGAUUAUUGGAGGUAGAGCACUGUUUGGACGAGGGGCCCCUCUCGGGUUACCGAAUUCAGACAAACUCCGAAUGCCAAUUAAUUUAACUUGGGAGUCAGAACAUGGGUGAUAAGGUCCGUGUUCGAAAGGGAAACAGCCCAGACCACCAGCUAAGGUCCCAAAAUAUAUGUUAAGUGGAAAAGGAUGUGGCGUUGCCCAGACAACUAGGAUGUUGGCUUAGAAGCAGCCAUCAUUUAAAGAGUGCGUAAUAGCUC
rnacentral:rRNA from 1 species